rnacentral:rRNA from 1 species
CUGCUGCCUUCCGUAGGAGUUUGGGCCGUGUCUCAGUCCCAAUGUGGCCGUUCACCCUCUCAGGCCGGCUACUGAUCGUUGCCUUGGUAGGCCAUUACCCCGACCAACUAGCUAAUCAGACGCGGAACCAUCGUAUACCACCAGAGUUUUUCACACCGCUUCAUGCGAAGCUGUGCGCUUAUGCGGUAUUAGCACCUAUUUCUAAGUGUUACUCCCCCAGUAUACGGCAGGUUUUCCACGCGUUACUCACCCGUCCGCCA